AAAAGAAAAAAGAAAAGAGGUAUCGCGAUUCGCGAUGGAUGUGGAUUUUAAUGGUGAUGUAGCGAGUUUGGAUGCUGAGCUUUUGCAGUUACCUGAGUUGUCUCCUUUGGCUAUUAAAACGAAUCCUUUUGUUGCCGAGAAGCUAUUUGAUCAAUGGCUUUCGCUUCCUGAUACUGCCGCUUUGGUGAAAUCUUUGAUUAAGAAUGCCAAAGGUGGCGGUCCAUUGAAUGUGUCUACUACAUCGUCUGGGACAAAUGUCGCGGCAACUAAUUCUUUGCCGUCCAUGUUUCCUGCUGGAAGUACACCUCCACUUUCUCCAAGAAGUUCAUCUGGUUCACCUCGAAUCUCAAAGCACAGGGCUGGACCCUCUUCAUUGGGGUCUCCUCUGAAAUUAAUUAAUGAGCCUGCAAAAGAACUGAUACCACAGUUUUACUUUCAAAAUGGUCGCCCCCCUCCAAAUGAAUUGAAGGAACGCUGUUUGUUUAGGAUAAACCAGUUCUUUUAUGGUCAUACUGAUGGGCUACAAAUGAAUGAGUUUAAACCAAUUACAAAGGAAAUAUGCAAGCUGCCCUCGUUCUUCUCCGCUGUCCUUUUUAAGAAGAUCGAUGUUGACGGCACUGGCGUCAUAACCAGGGAUGCCUUUGUUGAUUAUUGGAUACACGGGAACAUGUUGACAAAAGAUAUAGCAACUCAAAUGUACACAAUCUUGAAGCAGCCGGACCUUAGAUACCUCGUGCAGGAUGACUUCAAACCCAUUCUUCGGGAACUUUUGGCAACACAUCCAGGGUUGGAGUUCUUACAGAGCACACCUGAAUUUCAAGAGCGUUAUGCUGAAACUGUAGUAUACAGAAUAUUUUAUUACGUAAAUCGAUCGGGUAAUGGCCGUCUUACCCUCAAGGAGCUGAGACGUUCUGACCUUAUUGCUGCAAUGCAACAUGCGGAUGAAGAAGAUGACAUUAACAAGGUCCUAAGGUACUUCUCGUAUGAACAUUUUUACGUGAUAUAUUGCAAGUUUUGGGAGCUCGAUACUGAUCAUGAUUUUCUGAUUGAUAAAGAGAACCUCAUUCGAUAUGGCAAUCAUGCCCUUACGUACAGGAUCGUUGAUAGAAUAUUUUCUCAGGUUCCGAGGAAGUUUACAAGUAAAGUUGAAGGAAAGAUGGGUUAUGAAGACUUCGUUUACUUUAUAUUAUCAGAGGAGGAUAAAACGUCAGAGCCUGGUCUUGAGUACUGGUUCAAAUGCAUAGAUUUGGAUGGAAAUAGUAUUCUGACUAGGAAUGAGAUGCAAUUCUUUUAUGAGGAGCAGUUGCAUAGAAUGGAAUGCAUGGGCCAAGAGCCAGUGCUUUUUGAGGAUAUUUUGUGUCAAAUAGUUGACAUGGUCAGUCCAGAGAAUGAAAGCUAUUUUACAUUACGUGAUUUGAAGGGAAGCAGGCUCUCCGGUAGUGUUUUUAACAUACUUUUUAACCUCAAUAAGUUCAUGGCUUUUGAA
rnacentral:misc_RNA from 1 species